UACGUAGGGUGCAAGCGUUAAUCGGAAUUACUGGGCGUAAAGCGUGCGCAGGCGGUUGUGCAAGACCGAUGUGAAAUCCCCGGGCUUAACCUGGGAAUGGCAUUGGUGACUGCACUGCUAGAGUGUGUCAGAGGGGGGUAGAAUUCCACGUGUAGCAGUGAAAUGCGUAGAGAUGCGGAGGAAUACCGAUGGCGAAGGCAGCCCCCUGGGAUAACACUGACGCUCAUGCACGAAAGCGUGGGGAGCAAACAGG
rnacentral:rRNA from 1 species